CCCCCCCCCCCCCCCCCCCCCCCCCCCCCCCCCCCCCCCCCCCCCCCCCCCCCCCCCCCCCCCCCCCCCCCCCCCCCCCCCCCCCCCCCGCCCGCCGCAGCCGCGGGAGCCCCGGUCCGCGGGGGAGCGGCGCUGCCCGCCCGCUGCGUGCGCGCCGGGCACCGGCCCCGCAGGAUAGCGCUGGUUCGGAUCCUUGGAAAGGCAGAACGUGCAUGCACGCACACAGAACUGUGGGGCGUCGUGCGCUAGGUCAUAGAAGUGCCUGAGAACAGCACCCAAGAGUAAAAAACGCGUCUCGUAGCAGAUGCUGCCCAUCCACGAGCCGUUAGAUCUGGCCACCGAUCUUCACUAUUGCAGUAAUUAUUCUUGCAAAUGCAAAAAGCCACGACAGCACGCAGGUCCAACCAGUACAGUAUGUGGCAGCGAUAUUGUCCUAGCACGCUGGAAUACCAAGGGAUUCUUUCAGUCACAGUGUUUCAGCGAUGCUCUUACUGUUUACUGUGUGCACGAUAGAGCACGAAAUGAGCUUGCAGUGAACUUUGGGAUCCUAAAGCUUGGCUUCUGUGGUGGUAAGGGAGCUGUAGUAUGCAGAUACAUGAUUAGCUGGUGAAUGCCUAUUUAUGGUUCUCUUACCACCUAUCGAGGGUUUAAUGGCAGUCCUGGCCCAUCUCAUCAAUCCAGUCUUGACCAGAUGAACCUCAAAGAAGAAAUAGUAGUGAAGGUGGUAGAGCCGGAAGAAAACUCAGAGGACAUGGUAGUGGUUCCACCUAGUCAAGAACAACUGCCUUAUCUGGGGACAUCAGGUGGUGGUUCCUCUGGGAAAGUAAAAGCCAAAACAAAAAGCAGGUCCCAGGCAGACCAAAAUGAAAUGACUGAAGAGGAUCUACUGCAGAUUCAGCAGACCCAAAUACAGGUGAUCCAGUCUGGCUUUGACAGUGUCAACCACAAUCUUCAGCUGCUGCAGCAAGGCAUGCAAGACCUGAGUAACAGCAUCAGCAUCAUGGCACAUACACUUGUUGCUAUCAAGAACGUCUAUGUGAAAAACAACACUGGCCCAACCACACAUGCCACUGCAUCUACUCAGACCAUAGCUGGGUACCUGAGCCCAGGAUCCCCCCAGCUCUCCCCUGCUAAGGACAGAGCUAGAGUACAGGUGGCUGGAAGCAGCAGCAGAAGCAGCAGCUGCAGCUCCAGCUCCACGUCACAAGAACCAGGUCCUUCCGAGUUUCCUAGGCCCCCCCUGAGAACCAUUAAGAAAGAACAUCCAAAUGGCUGCUACUACUUCUGCUUUGCAGAUGUGUAA
rnacentral:lncRNA from 1 species